rnacentral:rRNA from 1 species
UACAGAGGUCUCAAGCGUUGUUCGGAUUCAUUGGGCGUAAAGGGUGCGUAGGCGGCGCGGUAAGUCGGGUGUGAAAUCUCGGGGCUUAACUCCAAAACUGCAUUCGAUACUGCCGUGCUUGAGGACUGGAGAGGAGACUGGAAUUUACGGUGUAGCAGUGAAAUGCGUAGAUAUCGUAAGGAAGACCAGUGGCGAAGGCGGGUCUCUAGACAGUUCCUGACGCUGAAGUACGAAGGCCAGGGGAGCAAACAGG